CGCUGCCUGGCGAUGUCCCCGGCCGCCACCCCUCGAGCGAGGCUGUGCGUCUGGACUUGGGCCUCGCCCGCGACAGGAGCUGCUCGCGCGGUCCCGAACUCGGGGUCGCAGUUCAUGCGCUCCUGGGGAAAGGGUGGAAGGGCCCCUGUCGGGAUCCUGGUUCGCAGGCUGAAGAAUUCCUUCGCCGGGGAGCGCCUUUGGGGAGUGACGGAGGCAAGGCGUAGGGCCCUAGGUGGUGGCGGGAUGAGUCUGGAAUUAGGGCCCACACUGCCCCGAGUGCCCGCAGCGCCAGGGCGCAGUUGGAGGCCUGGGGACCCAAGGCGUUGGGCCUUUCAGGGAAACCUGGGGCGCCAUGAUUGGUGGGAACCUGCCUCCUGGUCCCGGACUCCACCCUAAUGAGCCAGGGCACGAAUUUGAACUUGGGGCCUUGUCCCUGGCUUGGAGCACCCCCCCCCCCGACCACGCAUUGCCCCUGGCACCCUGCUGGCCUGGGGCUGCCAAGGGGUCACGCGCUCAACCGCUAACUAACUGUGAGUCUUGAUUUCUGAGAGACCCACACGGGGCAGAAGCACAGGGGCUUGGUUAGACAGCAGACAGAGGGAACCGCACCGAGACCUGCUCACUUCCGGCACUGGGACUCUUAACUGCACGUCUUCAAAUCCUUGACCUCGAAGCUCUCCCACCUAGCGACGUCCGGGCCUCUGCAAGAGGGACUGGGGACAUUAAGUUUCUUGGGACACUUUCAUCCCUGUGACGUGGGCUCCAGGAGGAAGUCGCUCCCGAGGACGUGAGGCGCCGCUGUCACGCGCAGAUGGGAGACCCUGGAGCCCUGAAGAAAGGAAGGAAAAGGGACAGGGCCCUCGCUGCAGUUUCAGGGCUUUCCUCCCGACAUUGGCCACAAUAAAUUUAGCCAGGGCUAAAGGAGAUUAAUUUCCCAG
ensembl:lncRNA